GCGCUCUUCCUUCCCUGCCCGGUAGCUACUUGUCCAACGGUGACGUGCCCAACCUGUCCAACAACUGCCGCUACGACCACAACUACGACGACCACCACGACAACACCAACAACGACUACAACAACAGCAGCAUCUGAGACUUGCUUGGCGUCCGGAUCCCGUUUGUGGCUGGAAUACAUUGGCUGGCCCUAUAUAUAACUCCUGUGGUGGAUAACCUAAUGACAUGCGACCUAACGGCUUUGAUAAUCGAAAAUGUCCCUACUGCCAAGACACCGGCGGAACCCCUUUUACAACUGCCAUCACCACAGCGACCAGCACUGCGAGUGUUGUGUUGUAUAGCUAUUAUCAAACCGUUGCCGUCUCAUUCGAUGCCAUGGUCAUUGCACCACCUGGAUGAGUGUUCUCUCUCGGGAAUAAUCGGAAGGAAUCAGUGCGAUAAAAAUGUCCCCGAUAUUGAAAUACGCCACAAAGCGAUCAUCAAGUUGAUUUCAUCUCGGUCAAAUAGAGCGAUAACAAUAGAGAAGCAUAGCAUUAAGGACUUUUUGUCAAAAUAUUUCAAAGGCUGUUUGUCGCUACGGAGUCCCGGGAGGGCUGUUUCAAAGUUGUUUGCUGUGUUAUGAAUACUGAGGUGCUACCUGAGCCCAGUACGUCCUUUAGUACUCUUCUAGUUUUCAUACUUGGGUCACUUUUAAUGUAUGUCUUCAUAUUUGGGCCCGCGGUCGCUGGUACGACCGCACAUGUGACGCACUACAUGGCUGCCCGACAAUCGUGUACACCUCCGCGUCUGCCGUCUGGUCAUUGGUGCACUAGUUUCGAUUCGAAAGUUGUAUGAGCAGGCGUUUAGUUCAGCCGGUAACGGGAAAGUUUUGAACUAUU